AGGAGCCGUAUACGAGGUCCGUAUGUACGGUUCUGUGAGAGGGAUGAGUCAGUAAUGCCUCACCCUACUCGAU
rfam:Colwellia sp. PAMC 21821, complete genome.